AACGAACGCUGGCGGCGUGGAUAAGACAUGCAAGUCGAACGCUAAGUUCGGGUAGCAAUAUUCCGGAGUUGGAGUGGCGAAAGGGUGCGUAACACGUGGGUAAUUUGCCGUGAAGUUGGGGAUAACUUGCUGAAAGGCGAGCUAAUACCGAAUGUGGUCUAACAAGGCUAAAAGUUGGGGACCGUAAGGCCUGACGCUUCAUGAUAAGCCCGCGGCCUAUCAGCUAGUUGGUGAGGUAAAGGCCCACCAAGGCAACGAUCAGUAGCGGGUCUGAGAGGAUGAUCCGCCACACUGGGACUGAGACACGGCCCAGACUCCUACGGGAGGCAGCAGUGGGGAAUUUUGGACAAUGGGGGCAACCCUGAUCCAGCCAUGCCGCGUGUCUGAAGAAGGCCUUCGGGUUGUAAAGGACUUUUGUCAGGGAGCAAAACCCAGCAGCUAAUAUCUGUUGGGGAUGAGAGUACCUGAAGAAUAAGCACCGGCUAACUACGUGCCAGCAGCC
rnacentral:rRNA from 1 species